UUUCAGCUCGCCCCAACCAACUGAAACCAAACCAGAACCCCGACCCGUCCUCGUCUGCCUACUCGGCUCGACUCCUCUCGCACCACCAAACUCCACCGCGCGCCACCGCCACACGCCCCGGUGGUCCGGCGGCGACCGACCGAUCCACCACCGAGCCAGCCUACCAGCGGCGGGAUGCCGGGGCCGGGGGCGCACCUGCUGUACGCGCUGUCUGGCGGGGCGGCGCUGUCGCGGCUCGCCGGGCCCGGGGACCGCCGCUUCGGGGCGCACCACUGCGCCGUCUACGCCGCCAACGCGUUCCUCGGCCCGGACCUCGGCGCCUUCUCCGAGUGGCUCUGCUCCUUCCUCCCGUCCUCGGCCUCCGCGUCCGCCGCGGGGGACCUCGCCAUGGCGGCCGUGCACCACCCCUUCUACUACCCGCUUCUCCUCGGCCUCCCGCUCGCCUGGGCCUACGCCUGGCUCUCCCGACGGCUGCUCCGCGCCGGCGUCCUCGACUCCCCCGCCGGAGUGCCACUAAACAAACAAGAGGCAGUGCUUCUUGCUUAUCUCGGCCGGCUCCCUGUCUCAUUUUUUCCUGGACCACUUGUUUGAGGAGAAUGGCCAUUCUACAAUGUACACUUGGAUCCUGAGCACUGGUUGGUGGAGAGGCCAUGCUCCUAUCAAUCCAGAUGCAGUGGUCGUUGUAGGACUUCUUUGCACUUGCCUCAUGGGGGGGUUUGUGUACAUCAACAGAGUGAAGCAUGGAAAGUCCGCAGCAGAAAAAUCGAACCAAUCUUUUUUUCUCAUCCUGGUGAUAGCCACCCUGUACUGUAUGUGGUGUGCCAAUCAGAUAUACCUGCGGCAACCCCCUCAACCUGCCAUAGGUGAAGAAGCUGAUCUUGGAGUGAUAAUAUUUCUUGCCAUUUAUCUCUUUCUCCCGCAUGGCUUGUGCAUCCUUUCAGUGAACCAAAAGGAUUAUAAUGAUGCACUGAAUGAACUGCCACUUCGAUAAUUUGUGCUGUGCAUUUUUAUUCCUUAUAUCCAGAAGAUCAGUUUGGUAACAGUCUGGUUUCUGCAUUAUGUUGUAAUUAGAUUUAGUUAUUAACUGGAUGAUUGCUAGUGCACCUUUGUGUAGCCCUGUAAUUCUUAGGAAACAUAUAUUGUUAUGGAAUAAAGUUGUAUUAUGGAUGACAUUGACUUCUGUUGAAAAAGAAGUUCAUCAUUUAAAUUGGUCGCAUGGAGUCAUGGAGAUAGAUGGUACAGUUUGGUAUUCAAGGCAUCCAUGACACCAUUUGACACUAGUGGGUAUAAGCUGCAAAGCAAAUUAUGUCUGCCAAGCUAAUUGUUGUGGCUUGUGUCCUUAUCAGUGUUUCCAUUUGUUAUCUAGAUCAUUGUAUUUUCUAUGAGUUAUCAUGCUUCUCUCUUUUUAUUGGUUUUCCUCUGCAGUAGUUAAACUUUUAUGUAUAAUGUGAUACAAAAGAUGCUGAAAUAUCCCAGCUGACAUCUUACUGUAGGUCUAGAUUAGAGUACUGUCUCUAGUUUUGGUCCCUAACUACCUCUUAUAGGUGUGAAGUAAUUGUAACAGGUUGUCUUUAAACAUUUUGAUGUAAAUUUCUCAACACUCAAUUAGGUUAUGUUCACUUUAGUGCACAAAAAUGUUUAAGCAUGUUUAAACAUCAAGGGGCUUAAAGGAUCACACUGACUAGCUAUGCAAUGGACUCGAUGAUGCUAAUGCUGUUGUGCUUCUCAUCAUCUCUCAUGGAAAUCUCAAGAGCCUUCUCCAGCCUUGACACAACUUGCUCCAUGGAUGGCCGCUGCUUCUUGUGGCCAGUGCAUGACAGAGCAAGCUUCAAACUAAGAUCGAAUGCCUCUGUUGAGUACUCUCCAUUCAACCUAGGAUCAGCAAAGUCCAAUACAUUGCCAUCUUGGAUAAGUGCAGAAGCCUGGGAAUGACAGGAGCUGCAGGAGCACCAUUCCGAAGCUGUAUACAUCCCCUGCAGCAUUUACCUUGUGGUUGUGGCGGUAUUCCGGAUCGACAUAGCCAAAGGUUCCCCUGACUUCAGAGCUUACGUGCGACACACCUAAGUCAAUGACUCUUGAGAGUCCGAAAUCUGACAGCUUGGGUUCCAUAUCAACCCCAAGAAGUAUAUUGGUUGGCUGCCAUAGCAACCUUCAGGAUAUAUGUGCAGGAACCAAAGGCCGCAAGCACUUCCAAGUGCUAUCUGAAGCCUCUGAAUCCAUGAGAGGUUCUUAUCUUUUCCUGCAAUCAAAUUAUUCUUUUCUUCAUUGAAGCAAAAAAAGGUAUAUACUUCUGAAGCUUGUAGUCAUCACACGUUGAAUAUUUAGGGGCAAUCUUGUUACUCACCAAAUAGCCAUUCUGAUAGAUUACCGUUGAUACACAGCUCAUAGACAAGAAAGAACUCCCCCUGCCCAUCACAGUAACCUCUUAAUGACACAAGAUUUGGGUGCCUGACAUGUGACAGGCUUGUAACUUCCCUUAGGAAAGUUCCUGCAUGCUCAUUCUUAACGAUGUGCUUCACUGCAACAGGCCGGCCAUUUGCCAGCACUCCUCUGUACACUUUCCCUGGAACCACAAGAGGAUCAAAUUGCACACCACCAAGAGCAACAUACUUUAGACAGUAUAUUAACUGCCUUCUAAGCCUCAUGCUCAUUGAUGAGAAAUGUAGUCUCCUCAUACUCAAGGGAUGCCAAUGUGACCUCUGCUAGAUAAAUAUGUGCAAUUGCAUAUUGGUAUUAGUAGAGAACAGCAAUGACCCCAACUAUCACCCCAGCAGAGAGGCAUCCUAACAGUGCUUCAUAUCCUGUUGAUAAAUUUGAUGAGCUCAAAUUUUGAAAGAUCAGGCAGAACGGAAUGGGAGAAAAUAGGUAAAGAGACAAACCUCUUUGCAUCCUUUAGGUUAUGGGGCGUGUGGGAAGAACACGAGAUUGCUUCUCACUAACCUUGUAUUUGUUCUGAUUAAAGCAUGUUAAUGUCCGCGCAAUCUAUACCCUGUCGUUAUUACCAAUGAAGUGUUAGUGACUAGCAAUUGCCGGCCAAGGUGUAGGCUUGGAAGAAGCCAAAAGCACGAAAAAUAUUGUAUCCCAUAAUUGGUUUGGGUCUGGAUCAGAAACCCGGAAUCCAACAUCAACAGUGUCUAGUAGGGUUGCACAUUUAUAGACGUACUUGGAUUGGUGGGUUGUUGGGUUAGUGGAGGUCAAUUAGUUUGCACCCGUUAUAUUAGUCAGUGCAUUUGGAGUCAAGCGAAGGAGCAGUAGACAAAUGUCAAAUGCGACAACUCUAUGCGUAGUGGAAUAAUCUAAAAUAUAAACUAGAUCACUGGAACACUCCUCUACUUUGACGACUUCAAAUGAGCCAAAUUAGGGGUUAAAAUUAACGGCACCUUUUCCCCUUAAAAAAUAACCACUAGAACAAAGCAAAGCAUGUAACCAUCGUUAAGUGUUUUGUACACUAAUGUAUUCUCCCCGCUCUUUCCAGGCAACCUUUGUCUUUCUCAACAGCCUGUUGUUUUUACUGCUGUUCAGCUCCGAAGUAGAACACUAUUGGUGGGGGAAUUUGAUACCAUAUUGCUUCAACUGUACUUAUAUGCCUUUAGAUUUGAUACCAUGUCAUUUCACAUUCGGUUUCAACAGCGUCUAUACCUUUAAGAUUUGAUACUUUGUUGUUUCAACAGUAUAAUAACUUUGAAUGCUUCUUAAGAUAGAUUCUUUCUCCAGCAAAUUCAUGUUCGGAUGCAUCUGAUUCUCAAGCAACCUAUUUUCUGUACAGUAAAAGAUGGCUUGAAAUGGCCUUGAGAAAGGGUCUAAAUAAUGAGCCCGAGCAUCGCUUUCAUGGGUGCAGAGUGACACCAAAUAAUACUACACCCAUUUUUGUUAAUAAACCUAGCUGUGCAAGUCAAUUAUAAUCUUAAAAGAACGCAUUGUGUUCAGAGAACAAAUGGCCGCUAUGUCUCUUCCUAAAAAUGAAUGCACCUUUGCUUGUCCUUUUUUUCUUGUAGUGAGAAUCUAGCAUACAGUAUCUUUGUUGACAGUCACAAAGGCUUUAUCUGUUUAGUCGUCUAUCUGGUGAUCUGCGCCUGAUUCAGAGAAUAACAUGGUAGUACUCAUUUGUCAUAAGUUAAGGUUACUAUUUUAGGGAAAACAAAGAGAUUUAUUCAAUCUUGUAGCAUUGAUUUGUCAAUCCUUCAGUAACUAAGUAACCAUAUAGGAGAAUAAAAAUUUAUAAAAUAUCAUAUCAAAGUUGGUACUCUAGUAAAAUUAAACAACCUCAAUUUGGUUCCUCAGCAGAAAAUUUUCUAGUUGGUACUUUAGUAAAAAAAGGUAGUUUUAUUUUGAGUACCUUAACGGCCCGUGCUCCGGUCCAGGCACGGUGCCGUUGUUUUUGGACCAAUCCUCUCUUGAUACAAAGAUACACAGCUCUCCUGUUCGAGAAAAAAAAUUCUAGUAAAUAGCUGAAAGUUUACAGAGCACCUCUUUCUGAAUCACUUCUUAUCGGACGCCUUUUUUUUUAUCAUGUUAUCUAACUGACCCUACUGUCAUUCAGUCUGGUAUCACACGCACUAUGUCGUAUCUCAUGUGUCAUGCUGACAAAAUUGUCCUUCCGACUUAGCUGGAUUGCAGACCGCCUCCAGGCAACAAUUGAUCAAGUCUGGAGCCGCCACCAGGGGCAGGCAACAAUCGAUCAACAGACACCCCUGUUCAACUGGAAAGAUGCAAAUUCAGAUUGCGCUACAAGCCUCAGAUCUAGCGAGAGGCAGGUGUUCACCGCAGGGUCUACGGCGCAGGCCUCGACAGAGACAAUACAACAGCCCCUGGCUUUUCGUGAUGCAAUAGCACAUCCGCCAAUAGCGUGUACACGCGAUGUAUUGCACCUUGAAGAGCAGGUUGCACUUUGCAGCAUGUAUAUCUUACUUUAGAGCUUACUUCUUAGGGCUUAAGGAUGUACGAUUACUGCUACAUGAGCUUAUUCAUAAAGGUGAUCGAGCAUGAGAAUCUCCUUGAGAUAUAUAUUGGCUCGUGGUGGUUGUUACCCA